AGAAUCAACGCUGGCGGCGUGCCUAACACAUGCAAGUCGCACGAGAAAGUGGAGCAAUCCACGAGUAAAGUGGCGCACGGGUGAGUAACACGUGAAUAAUCUACCUCCGAGUGGGGAAUAACUGAGAGAAAUCUUAGCUAAUACCGCAUAAUACCCACGGGUCAAAGCAGCAAUGCGCUUGGAGAGGAGUUCGCGGCCGAUUAGCUAGUUGGCGGGGUAAUGGCCCACCAAGGCGAUGAUCGGUAUCCGGCCUGAGAGGACGCACGGACACACUGGAACUGAAACACGGUCCAGACUCCUACGGGAGGCAGCAGUGGGGAAUUUUGCGCAAUGGGGGAAACCCUGAUGCAGCAACGCCGCGUGGAGGAUGAAUCCCUUGGGAUGUAAACUCCUUUCGAUAGGGAAGAUAAUGACGGUACCUAUAGAAGAAGCCCCGGCUAACUUCGCGCCAGCAGCCGC
rnacentral:rRNA from 1 species